GGCAGUGGGAAAACUAAUAACUGAAAAGGGCUCAAGGCCUGGAGGUUACAUCCAAUGGGCUAGGAUUGAUUGGUUUGCUAUUAGGAAUAGAUCUAGUUCUCUGCUCAGCAGCCUAACAAGCGAUAGAGAAACAGCUGUCUAAAAUGGGCAGAACGAAGAGCACUACAGGGAUAGUAACAGCAAAAGCGAUGGAAUGUCACUAUCCAUGAGCCUAAAGCAGUUUGGCACAUUGUAGGUGCUCCAUCAAUAUUUGUUGAAAAAACAAAGACAACUCUCAGGUUUCUGGUUUGAGCAACCGGGUGAUUGUGGCUUACUGAGGCAAGAAACACAGAAGGAUACAGAGUCCGAUGGGAAGUGACAAGUUCCUUUUUUGACAUGCUGAGUCCGUGUCUUGUGAGAGCAAUGUCCAGGGCACCUCACAACAUGGGAGCUUGCUUCAUUCACCAGAGCAAACCUGAAAGGAGAAUCCAUGAAAGAGUGUGAG
rnacentral:lncRNA from 1 species